CUGUCCGCACACUGCUGAAGCUUAUGAAGUCUAUUGAUUUCAAACCUGGCUUUAACCACAAUAUACUUGCCACAAUGAAGGCGGCUAUGGAGACCACAAAUCCCAUGGAUAAGGUUUGUGCCAUCAUCACUGAUGAAAUGUCUCUUAAACAGGCAGUCCACUAUAAUGAGUCUGCUGACAGGAUUGAAGGUUUUGAGGAUUUGGUAGAGGUCAGCGUACUCCAUAUGUUGUCAACUAUGCCUCUGCAUUCAUGGUAAGAGGGCUGUUUCGGAAAUGGAAGCAACUCUUUGGAUAUUGCUUCACAAGUGGGCCCAUACCACAUACCCGGCUUCAAUCAUUGCUGCUAGAGGCAAUCCGUGAGCUAAGGAAGGCUGGGAUGGAGUGCUUGGUCUUCAUCUGUGACCAGGGUUCUGGUAACCGUUCAAUGCUUGCUCGUCUUGUUGUAACAAAGGAGAAGCCGUACUUUGAAGUAGAUGCUGUCAGAGUGUUCUGCCUGUGGGAUCCACCACAUUUAAUCAAGAAUAUUCGCAACAACUGGCGCACCAACGGGUUCACACUGGAUGGUGAUCACAUCUUCUGGGGCAUUCUGGAGGAACUGUUUACUUACGACAGCAAACAGGACAUUCGAUUGUGUUGCCGCCUUAAUAAGAAGCAUGUGCAUCUCCCACCAUUUGCUUCCAUGAGAGUAAGGUUUGCUACUCAGGUCCUGAGCCACUCCGUUGCUGUGGGAAUAAAGACCUUGGCACAUGUAAAGCAGCUCACAGGUCAGGCGCAGAGGAACUACAUGGCAGCUGCUAAAUUCUGUGAAAACUUUGAUGGCAUAUUUAACUGCUUCAACUCCAAGCAGCUCAAGGAUUCCCACAAGUUAAAGUCUGCUCUCUCAGAUGCAUCCGCUCAUUUCCCAUUCUUGGAAAAGUGUAUGGAGUGGCUCCCCCGCCUUAAGCUUGUACGUGCUCGCCUUGGAACCAAGCAGAUCCCAUGUGUAGAGGGGUGGCAGCACAACAUUGUGUGCUUGAAAAUGAUCUGGUGUGAUCUCCGUGAACAUCAUCAGGUUUCCUACCUUUUGACAAAUGUUUGAAUCAAGACUGCCUUGAGAAUGCCUACUCAACCAUUAGAGGCAUGUAAAAAUAAACAUUGAAAUUUAAGGAACUUGCAUUGCAUGGUUUAUUGUUUCUCUUCAUUUUAAGUUGUAACGGUAUUUAGUUUGUGUAUAUGUCUUCAGCUCGUGGUGGUAACCGUGACAACCCUGACUCUGUCCAGUUUGAGUGUGAAUACCGGGCUGUGGCUACAGGAUUUAUGUUUAAUAACUCAGAGAAGACCAACUGUGAGCAAGAUCUUGACACCUUUUUGCUCCAGUUCAGCAGAUACAAUUCUCAGGGGAGUCCCCAGGUCAGCAUUGACACAGAGCAGAUCUCAGCUGAACAUUGCUACAUCUCCCAGGAAGGUCCCAGUAUCAUUGUACCCGUCAAUACUGAGAAAAUUAUGGACGAACAUAGAUAUGCUAGAGUUAGUGCUAACUGUAAAGUUGAUAAUCCACCAGUCACUGCUAAUGCCGGAGUCAUAGAUGACCAGGUGGAGCAGCCAAUGGACUGUACAGUAGACAAUCAUGAUUCCCACCAAAUAUCUUUUAGGUCUGGAAAUCAUGAACAGUGUUGCUGUGCUGGAGUCUGAUGUCAAAAUCCCUGAGGGUGUCCUACCAAAACGUGCCCUAGACCUGCUGAGUGAGAUGAGGCCAUCAGUUUCAGCAGCAUCUUCCUUUGACCAUGAUGGAAGCGUACUGGUUUACAUAGCUAGUUAUAUGGCCAGCAAGGUUGUGGGGAAAUAUGCAGACAGUAAAGACGGUCCCUGUAAUGAGUGUAAUAUCUUGACCACAGAUAUCCCUGCUGAUUCACAGUAUGCAUUUCUAAAGGACAAACAGUAUGCUGACAUGUCCUUAGGAGAGAAGGGCCUUAAAGUUCCCAGCAAGGCACUAGUGGAUUUAGUCAUAGCUUUGGAGUUUAACUUCCGCAAAAACAUCAGCUCAGUUAUCCACACCGUAGGAAGCUAUUUACAAGCAGUAUGUCAAUUGUGAGUGAGUGCAGAGGAGUAAUGUGUGACACAGAGAAGUGCAAAAGGUCACUCAUCUACAUGGUUAAACUAUUUAUACAGAUCAGAAUCCAUCAUAUAUUGCGCACCCAAAAUCUGAGAAUCUCACAGCCAAAUAAGAAGCGCAAUAGGAAAUUUCUUAAAUUAAGCCAUCAGUAAAUUUUGUUCACUUUCUACACCUACAGUAAAUGCUGUAUUGUCUCGUAUGUAUGUGUUGUUGUUGUUAUCAGUUGUGGAAUUUAAUCAUUAAUUAGAUAAACAUUUGAGGUAAUUCUUUUUUUAUUGAGUAAUUUCAUUUUAUGCUACUUUACACAUUUACUACUGUUAUUAGUUACCAACUCCACUAGUUAUUACAUAUAUUUUGUAAAUAUUAAUCCCGUGGAUCCUGCUACAAACAUGAUAAUCUUAUAACACAUGAUGCAGUGCAAUGUCUGUUAUCUUAUAAUUGCCACUUUUGGACACUGGCUGUUUUUUUUACUUUUUUUAAAUAUCUGAAAAUAAGCUGUAAAAAUGGAUUUGAUGACCACUAUUCUGCUUGUAUGUUAUUCUGUGUUAUCAUCAUUCACUUUGGAUUUGACCUUUAAUGUACUUUUUUUAUAGCGACAACAAGAAGUCGUCGCUCGUUCGCAAACGACACAUAACUUCUACUUGACUGCCGAGUCGCUUUGAUUCCAUAAUGGCAAAUUCGUGGGGCUGCUGCUGGGCGCUGGUGAUGCAAUGGAACGUUCUAUUGAGUUUCCUCUCUUGUGCUUCUAUACUCUUUGUUUACACUCGCGUGUAGUCAAUAACCAUUCAUAUACGAUUUUUGGUUAACGGGCAAACAAACAAAUAUGGAUCUUUUAAGUAGCAGUUCGAGCUCCAGCAGCAGUUCAGCGCUGGAGCUCGAAUAUAUAUAUAUAUAUAUUCUUUGUAGGGGAGAGUGGGGUAAAGUGAGACAUUUUUUACAUUUGCUCCCCUCUAAGCAAGCUAAAAAGAUAUAUCAGUCAAAUUUACACAUUUUCCAUUAAUUCAGGAUGUUUCCUAGCUAUGGAAAUUACCAAAAUGUAUUCAGGACGAAGAGCAGUGAAAAUAUGAUUGUUUUAAAAAAAGUGGUCUUGUGUCUCAGUUUACCCCUAAGCUGGGUAAAGUACUCCCAAAAGUGCUAUUACGCCAUAAAAUAUAGUUCCUCUUUUAAAUCCGCUUAGAAAAGCGCUACAUUUUAUUUUGUACCACCAAACUUGCUCGUAUAACUACUCGUCUUAAAUAGGAAAAACGUUGAUGUGUUUGGUCACUUCUAACUUUAUCUCUGAUUGGUACCAUUGAAUGAAUGGGGCUAAGCUAAAUGCUAUCGAAGUGUCGCAGCGUGCUCCAGCGCUUACGUGCACGCACACAGAUGAUAGAGGUAUAUCAACAAUUCUUAGUUAAGGUAAUAACAUAUUUUAAUAUUGAAAAUGAGUAGACUAUUCCUUUAACUAGUUACAAUCCAAAUUCAUUCAUGCACUACUUAAAUAUUAAUUUCACUACUGUUCUGUUUAGUUUAUUAUGUACAUAUCCAUUUGCAGGGGCGUAGCAGCCAUUUUAAAAGUGUGGGGGGGGGCAGUAUGGUAAUGUGACCUAAAGCUGAUGUUCAUAAUAAUACAUUCUAAAUAGAAUACCAAUUGGCAUUUUACAGCACCCUAGUGGCAAUUUUGGGAACACCUAUUUUUGUGAAAUCAUAUUCACAAUUUAAAAAUACUGCAGGACUUUGAAACCAAUGUGAGACCAUCAAUAGCCUACUUUAUUUUUAUGAAAUAAAGAUAUUUUAUGAUAGUUACAAUAUUUCAGUUACACUACAUUUGUGUUUUGAUAAAUAUACAAAUUACAUCUACACUAAUUUUAUACAACAUACAUUUUAUGAAAAUAUAGCAAUAAAACCUAAAUCGAUGUAUUUACAAGUUUUUAAUAUUUUCAAGAUGGAAGUAAGUUCUUUAAUCAAAACAUGGCCGUGGGAAGUGUGGGUGCUGCGGGUGGGAGAUUUUUUUUAAGUAAAAAUAUUCUGCACAAUUUAUAUAUUACUUAUGAAUAUUUUAGGAGAUUAUUUUUGACACACGUAGGUUAUUACGUGUAUUUUGGGUUUUAAUUUCAUUACUGUCUGUGCCUACCCAUCUCCGUGGCCUCAUCCGAGCGCACUUUCUCUGCCUUGUCUUUUGAAGACAUGGGUACGCAGCACCAUGACCCAGAAUAGACUAACACACCUUUGGCUAAUGCAUGCCCACACAGAAAUUCUGAACUCCCUGGGCAUUCGUCCCCUAGCUCAUGAGAGACUUUGGACUCUAUUAUACAACCGGCGCAAUGGGCGACGCGAGUGUCUUUUGCUAGAGUAAAGAGCGCGUUGAUAUUAUGCGCAUACAGUUUUAAGGGGAUGACAACGCGGGUUUGCUUAGCACAUACAUGGAUGCGAAGCAGCACAAAAACGCUUUUUAAUAUGAAAAAAGGAUUAAAAUGUAAAAGAUUAUUAUUGAAUCUCUUUGACAUAAAUGAUCAGGCACGUGCACAGAUAGGGCUCAACCUGUGCAGAACACAUGCCCUUUUUGUCCUUACACUCCGAAGUGUCCUUUUUUUUGGAGGUGUUUUAUUAUUUUUUUAAUAUAUAAAUUAAUGCUAUUGUCAACCAUUUAUGUCUGUCUGUGUGUUUUACAAAUAUAUUUAUCAAAUAAAAUUAUUAAAAAACGAAAUCUUUUUGGAUCCGCUCAAACUGUCUGUCAAACCUCUUUACUCCGCCCCCUGAGUGCAGCGAGCUGAAGUUCCAGACAGCAGUCAGUCAGAGCAGCUGAACGUCUUGCAACGUCAUUCGUAUAAAGGACCAACAUGGACCAGUAGUUAUUUCAUGCUGCCCUUCGGCAGUACCUACUAAGUGGGAUGUCGAUGUCGCGGUUGACUGGAAGAGAGUCAUGCGGGUGGCCAACCACUUCGUUGUAGAUGGUUUGUCCAUGCUGAUGGCUAUGCAGCAUAGUUGAAGCAGACCUGUCAGAAAACUUCUCUAAGGUGCUAUGAAUCAUAUGACUAGAUACACAUCCUAAAAUUACUAGAGGUUACGGAAGCUCCUUUUUGGAUCCAGCUUCAUUUGUGAAGACUUCAGAUGAUGCCAACACUCACAGAGGCUUAAGACGAUGGCAACAAUAGAUAGACAUACAAAAUUGCCAAAUAUAAUAUUGUAAUUACUGCCCCAAAGCGCAAGUUUGCCGAUUUUUAACCCACUUUAUAUUGUUACAAAUACAAUAGAUGCUAACAUUUGAACAGAAAAUGUUUCCUCUUUAUUCUUGAGUUAAUUGUGCUGAUUUAUUCCCAUUUUUUUAUCCACAAUUCUUUGCCAAAAUGAUGUUUUGCAUCAUCUAAAUGGUUCAUUUUCAAAUUACAGACAUUGUAACAACACAAAGUAGGUUGAAAUUCUGCCAACUUACCCUAUAAUAAUAAUUGUCUUUUAACUGAACAGGACUUUAAACACAUGACUUGUAUUAACUUAGAGCUAUUGUGAAAUUAAUAUUGUUUUGUUUCCAGAACAUUCUCCUCAGUGAGUCACUGUUACCUCAGACUGAUUAAGGGAUUUUUUGUAACCUUGAAACAUGCAUUGGUUUUAUUAUGGUAAAACUGCAUAUCUUAUUUCAAACCAAGGUUUUGUAACCAUGGUUCUACUACAGUAACAUUAUAGUAAUGCUGGAGUGAAACUGUGGUAACCAUAUUAUUUUAAAUCAUGGUAAAGUUUGUGGUUACUAAAAUGCACUUCUAUAUGCUGUUGUAAGAGCAUGAUUAUUUUUUAUUUAUUAAUAAACCAUGGUUGAUUUUA